rnacentral:rRNA from 1 species
UACGGGGGGAGCAAGCGUUGUUCGGAUUUACUGGGCGUAAAGGGCGCGUAGGCGGCGCAACAAGUCACUUGUGAAAUCUCCGGGCUUAACCCGGAGCGGUCAAGUGAUACUGUCGUGCUAGAGUGCGGAAGGGGGCUACUGGAAUUCUCGGUGUAGCGGUGAAAUGCGUAGAUAUCAGGGAGGGAACACCCGGUGGGCGAAAGG